UCUUCGGACGCUGACGAGUGGCGAACGGGUGAGUAAUGCAUCGGAACGUGCCCAGUCGUGGGGGAUAACUGCUCGAAAGAGCAGCUAAUACCGCAUACGACCUGAGGGUGAAAGCGGGGGACCGUAAGGCCUCGCGCGAUUGGAGCGGCCGAUGUCAGAUUAGCUAGUUGGUGGGGUAAAGGCCUACCAAGGCAACGAUCUGUAGUUGGUCUGAGAGGACGACCAGCCACACUGGGACUGAGACACGGCCCAGACUCCUACGGGAGGCAGCAGUGGGGAAUUUUGGACAAUGGGCGCAAGCCUGAUCCAGCAAUGCCGCGUGCAGGAAGAAGGCCUUCGGGUUGUAAACUGCUUUUGUCAGGGAAGAAAUCUUCUGGGCUAAUACCCCGGGAGGAUGACGGUACCUGAAGAAUAAGCACCGGCUAACUACGUGCCAGCAGCCGCGGUAAUACGUAGGGUGCGAGCGUUAAUCGGAAUUACUGGGCGUAAAGCGUGCGCAGGCGGUUAUGUAAGACAGAUGUGAAAUCCCCGGGCUCAACCUGGGAACUGCA
rnacentral:rRNA from 1 species